GCGCCUCGCCCACUGAAGGACGCCACGCCUCUCUUACCUGGUGCUGCAGAGCAGCGGCACUCGCCUAGAGCACAGAGAACUACUUCGGGUGGACCAGGCAUCUGACACACCCCGAGUUCGGAAGUGUUGGCACUGUGCCUAGGGGAGCGGAUGCUGACGUGUAGUUACGUGCCGCACGUUUACACCGACAGUGCUGCGGUUAGAAAUUCAUCCCCAGGGUCCGCGCCACACGAAGUCGCCCAUGGGGCGUAGUAAGGCCACGAGUCCCGUCACCAACGCCUGCUCACCACGAGGCCCUAACUACUGCUUUACUGAAACCACACCUUUCACAGGACUCCAGUCCCUGCCUUUGUGUGGCAGGUUCUGGUCUGACACUUGUGAAGACCUUGACCUGGAGGCUUCAGCCUGAGACUCAGAGGGGAUGGAGCUUGUGCAGCGGCUGGCAGCUUAAAUGAGACACGAGGCCAAGGAAGGAGGGCCGCCUCUCUGCUCCCGCUCCGCUCCUGAGUCAGCUAGAACUCGUUUCAGGAAUAUGAAGAGAAAAAGACAAGGAUUCAAACCAAGAAUACAUAUGGGGAUUGAUCCUCAGUGAAGAAAAUAUACUGGCUGGCCCUCACCGUCAUUCAACAGCUCAAAAUGAACAUCUAGUCCCAAAGGGUUGAACCUCAAAUAUCAUCCCAUACAAGCCACUCCAUUGAAGUCACUGUGGGAAUUCCAUCAUGAAACUGAUCAAGAGUAAUGACUAUAAAAAUGUUGUCAUAUUAUCUUUUUAUUGAGAUAUAAUUCACAUUCCAUCAAUUCACAUUUUUUUUUUGAACUGUGUGAUUCGGCGGCUUUUAGUGUACUCAGGUUUUGCAAUCAACAUCUCUAAUUCCAGUACAUUUUCAUCAUCCCCAAGAGAAACCUCAUACCUAGUAUCAGUCAUUCUCAUUCUCUCCUCCCCUUUCACCCCAGCCCUGGGUUUUUCUGUCUCUAUUGAUUUUCCUGUGCUGGACAUUUCAUAGGAAUAGAACCACACAAUGUGCAGACUUCUGUGUCUGACUUUUGCAGUAAGCAAAAUGUGUUCAAGGUGCAUCCAGGUUGUAGCAUGUAUCUAUCCUUCACCCUUUUUAUGGCUGAAUAAUAGUCAUUGUAUGGAUAUAAUACAUUUUAUUUUUCCAUUCAUCAGUUGGCAAAUAGUUGGGUUGUUUCCACUUUUUGGCUAUUAUGAAUAAUGAUACGACAAUAUAACACUCAUGUACAAGUUUUUGUGUGAACAUAUGUUUUUUAUUUCUCCUGGACAUAUACCUGGGAGUGGAGUUCCUAGGCCAUAUUGUAUCUCUGUGUUUAACUUUUUGAGGAACUGCCAAACUAUUUUCUUUUUCAUAUUUGCACCAGCAAUGCUUAAAAGUGCCAAUUUCCCCACAUCAUUGCCAACCCUUGUUUUUAAAAAAAUUAUAUGCAUACUAGUGGGUGUGAAGUGGUAUCUCACUGUGGUUUCAGUUUGCAUAAUUUUGACUAAUAAUUUUGGACAUGUUUUCCUAUGCUUAUUGGCAA